GCCUUCGUCUGCGGGUAGAGCUGGAACAACAACACAGAGGGUUGAACACGCUGCUCACCGUUAAACCAACACACGGUAAUUGAGCCCUGUCUGGUCUCUCCAUGCCGUAUCCAGCAUCGGGGUUGGACUUCACCUUCUCAGCUCAGCUAAACUAGGUGACGGCAAAAUGCCGAACCCAAAGCUUCCAAAUGGAAGUCCACAAACCAACGGGUGACAUCAUAAUGACUACGCCCACUUCUAGAUAUAGUCUGUGGUGCAAAUACAGUGAGAAUUAACCGAGACGUCUUCUCUCAAGUACAUUUGCUUUCUUUCAUAUUGUUGUUGAAAACCCACAUUAGAUAAAUCAUUUUUCAAAGUACUUGGUAACACUUUAUAAUAACUACACGCUGUGAAGCAUUACUUAAGUAUAAGUAAACACUUAAUUCCUUAUUUAUAAAAGCAUUGUUCCACCCUUUAUAAAUGAUGGAUUCACCAUGUGUACAUGAAGUUUUAUAUAAUGCUUCAAAGCCUGCAGUUAUUAUAAAGUGUUACCAAGUAUUCUUGUUAUUCUUUAAAACAUGGCUCCAGGGAAGACUAUUUACAAGUUUAAUAUUUAUUUUAGUGUUAGCCCUUUUGUUGCAUAAUUUGGAGCCUUCGUCCAAUUACUACUGCAUUCUUCAGUGGAAGGUGUCCCCUGGAAACCGUCCCCUCCAAUGGUUCCAGGCUCGGAGCUGCUGACCAUCAGAGGACGUUGAGACGUUUCCUGUUCGUCGGGGUCCAGAAAGAGAGAACUCGCGAGCGUCGCUGAGACGCUGGUUGACAGUGUCAGUGGGAGCCGGAGGGAUGAGCCCAGCUCAGACUGAGCCAACUAAUGCCAUUAGCGGUUCUAAUACUAUUGUUCUGUUCUCCCAGGCUAAUGCCAUUAUACUGUCUCCAGUGCCGCGGGCCCUUUCAGCACACAGACCCCCGAGCCAGACAUUUGGACCAAGUUUACGCCUUAUCUUUGAUGUGGACAAAACACACACAAUCGCUGUGAGCCCAAUGUGGUCCGACCAGGGAGGGGGGGCAGCCAUUGAUGCUUUUCUCUGAACGGGCCUGAACAACCACAAUAGCCCAGUGUGUGUACAUAUAUACACAUGUGUGUGUGUGUGUGUGUGCGUGUGGAAGCGCUCUCUCAUGCACUCACAAUGCUCCAUUGUCCCGUGGACCGCAACAGUAAUUUAUGUAAAGAUUCUCUCUCUUCGUCUCAUCCAUCCCUUUUCUCCAUUGCUUUUGUUGCUCUCCCAUUUCUCUCUCUCCAAUCCGGCCCCUCUCGUCCCUUUCUCCCCCCCCCUCCCCUUCCUGUCCUGUCAGACUGUGUCUAUCUUUUGCUCUUUCUCUCUCUCUGUCACUCCUCCACGCUCUACCUCCGUCUGCCUGCCUCUUUUUUCCCUCUCCUCACUGUCGCCGCGUAUUGAUCUCCAUUUCUUCCUCCUACACUUUGCUGUCUCUUUGUUGUCACUCUUCCAUACCAUGCAUUCACUUGACUCUUUCUUUCUGCCUUGUUUCAUAUCAUCCUCUUCUUUGUUGGACUGACACGAGAAUUAGUAAAAAAGUUAAAUAAAAAACAAAAAAAGACAGUCGACUGAUUUUACAGCCAGUCUUUCCCUUCCUUUUCUCUCUCCAGUGGUUCGAGGGGAGGUGAACACAGGGGAGUGUAAUGGGGAGAGAAGAUACCAUCACUAAAAUUGUUUAACAGCCUACAGUUUUAAGAAAAUAUAAAAUGAUUGUCACGCAGCGUGAAUUUAUGUAAAACAUUAAUGCUAUAAGCUGCAGUUAGCCGACUCUCAACGCCUCGUAAAACACACUCAACCUUUUAUUUCUCUCCCCAGCCGCCACACUUCCUCCAACACAGGUGUCUACUCAGUCUGAAAUGUUUACAUCGUUUCUUUUUUUUGAGGAUAGAAAUGGAAUGAACAAAAAUGUUUUACAAGACAGUUUGUGAUAUUCCUCUUUGCAUAUUAAAGGCAAAUCUUUAGCCAUAUAUUGAACCUCAGUAGUGUUUGAGAUAUGACAGAAUCUUAAACACUAAUGUAUCUGCAAAUAUAAAUAAAUGACUAAUUACUAUAAAUAAGAACUCCUGAUGAAGCAGAUUGUGUGUUUUUAGUGUUUAACUUCUACUUAUGGUCCCCUAAGGAAGGGAAAUUCCCACUGUUUUCAAAGAUUAAACUUAGAUUUAUGCUUGUUGAGUCAUGAA